ACAGGGAAAUAGGAAGGAACAUGCCCGUGAUCAGCAAAUAGGAAACCCAACUGCGUCGCGCGCACCAGCACAUAUGCUGCCGGCACACACAGGAGUCAUGAGCUAAAUCCCGAAGUCCACAGUCGUCGGAGCCGUCGUAAAAAUCUUCGGUGCAAUUCGUCGUUUGAGGAAAUGUCGAUGCUUUAACCUCGCCAUGGCGGAUCAUCGUGACGGAUUUUAGGAUCCUCGGGAGCGACGAAAAUUGGGAGGGAGCCGCCGCGCCGUUCCGGGCGUACUCACAAUGGAGUCCACGCGCCAGGAUAAGAAGUUUCAAUCCAGUUGGAAAUUGCCUCCUUCCUCGGUCGAUCUGGAUAGGAGGGACAGCCCCGUGAAUCCGUAUCAUCGAUCCAACCGCGCGAGGAUGACGCAUCCGUGGUGGACACUUCCAGACGCGGAUGAUCAGAGCGAAGCUGAAAUUAGUGGUUUACCGGAAUUCGAGUGCGACACGUAUGAAAAUUCCUAUAUAGACGCGUGUUCCUGCUGUACUUUUUCGGAGGAGAUGAUCAUUGCGAGACGUCGCGGUUACUGUAAAAAGGAACGAUCGAGAAGGGAGGCUUACAGGAAAAUCAAGGCGAAAGUGGAGAACGCUGUCAAAAAGCACAAAAUAUUCCUCCUGCGAGGCGAGCUGCCAAAGCUGAAGGAAGCGCUGGAGGCGCGGGGGUGGGUGCAGAAGUACGAGUCAACUAGAACGAGAGCGCUGCCAUACGGCACCGCGGCUAACUUAGAAGCUCACUCCCUGGGCGAUAUCACGCAAGCGGAUGGAACAUUGAACGAGAGGGCUGUGAUUUUUGCCCUGCUGCGGCACAGGCAGUCCGACUUCAUAUGGGAUUGCAGGAACGACUUCGUCAAGUGGCAUCGCGGACUCGGCUGCAACGUUCUGCUCAACAAAUACCAGAGAUCCCAUGUUUAUACUUCGAAGCUCGGAAUGGCGCGCUUACUGGAAGAUGCAUAUUGGCUGCACGAGGAGAACGUGUCCGACGCCCUGUUUCCGCGCACCUACAACCCCGGCGAGGAUCAAUGCGCCUUCGUGGAGGACUUCCGACUGACCGCGGCCGCGGGUCUACUCAAGUGGUUCGUUCGCGGCAUGACCGCUGCGGCGGCCGAGGAGAUUCUCGUGGCCGGCUCGGAGGGACGACGAGCGAUCCCGGUCGCCAGGCUGGAGUUCGCGAUAGAACGUUGCGAGGAGUUCGUCGUUGCCGCGACGCACGAAGACAUCGAUAUUGAAAGGAGCGAGCGGCCGUCCGAUGAGGAAUGGGAUCGUUUUCUGGACGAUCACACGGCGGCGCUUCAUCACGGAGCCGGUGUCGAUGGCACGUCGGAAGAGACCCGCGAGGCUCUUCAGAGAUGCUUCCUGGCCGCCGUCGCGAUUUUGGAGAAAUUAAAGGCCGUCGAUCCGCAGUAUGAGAUGAGCGACAUGAGAGGCAUUUGGAUCCUGAAACCCAGCCAUUUGUGCUGCGGCAAUGGUAUCGUUAUAUCCCACAAUCUCAAGGACAUCUUGCGCAGAGUCGAGCAGAAGCCCAAAGAUUAUUACAUCGUACAGAAGUACAUUGAACGUCCAUUGCUGAUCAAAAAGACCAAAUUUGAUAUACGACUAUGGUACUUGGUAACAAGUACCUUCCCUCUCACAAUAUGGCUAUUCAAAGAAGCGUUUCUUCGAUUCAGCUCGAAGCCGUACACUUGCUCGAAUUAUCACGAGGCGAUUCACAUUUGCAACACUGCCGUCCAGCAGAAGUACGACGAGAAGAGACGCAGACAGCGACGCAGGCAGGGAGACCCCGAGGAACCAGCCGGCAGCAGAUCGGUGCGCGAUCAAGGAUGGGACUGCGAGAAGCUGAACGAAUAUUUGAAAUCCAUAGGCCAUAAAGGCGAACCGUAUUACGAUCUGAUUUAUCCGAAAAUGACGGAAGCCAUCGUUCUGACGAUGCUGGCAGCGCAGAAUCUCAUGGAGAGACGCCGUUGCAGCUUCGAAUUGUACGGUGCCGAUUUCAUGCUGGCCGAUGACAUGUCGGUCUGGCUGAUCGAGAUCAAUACCAAUCCCCGUAUGCAUCCGCCCAGCUCCCGACUGACAAGACGCCUUUACUCCAACGUGCUGGAGAGCCUGGUGAAAGUGAUAAUGGACGUGCCGGUGAACGCUUGCGCCGACACGGGCGGCUUCAGUCUGGUCUACAAGCAGGACAUACCCGACUUCCAGCCUUACCUUGGUCCCUACCUUUUCGUGGCUGGCAAGUCGAUGACACUGCACGAACGGCCGCCGGAACCGACGGCGACGCCGGAGAAAGAAAGGAGGGCAAACAUUUGCGGUCCCUGGAGCAAGCGGCAACGUGCAAGGACCGCCCCGCCCAUGAUCCUACGCUCGAGAGAACCGAACGUGGCGGAUUUUAUUGACCAUUUGAACGCCGCUCGAUGCACCGUGGCCAAUUGACGUGAAACCCUUUUAGUCGAUGCCAUAAGCGAGGCGACGUCCGCGCGCGCCGGCAUCUCUUCUUUCCGCGUCCCCGAGGAAAAUCGCGUGGCUCGAAGAUUGCGCUAGUUGCGCUAUUGAAUAUAAGCGAUGUAAACUUCCUUGGGAUAUAACGAGGCAAACUUCCUCGCGGUUGCGUGAUUGACGGAAUACUUUUUGCGAGAAAUUUGCGACACGAUGCAUAAUCUUGUCUCUCGACGACGGUUCUCCAUCCUAUACUUUCCAAGAGAACAGCAGUAGAUCGAUUCGAAAUCAGCCUCACCUAAUGGCAGAAGUUUAUGACGGCAGCCUCAUGCAAGAACCAGACGAUCCAGAUAAAGACAAUCGUUUUAUUGAUAUGUACAUACAAUAAAUUUAUUUACAAAUAAUACAAUAAA